rnacentral:rRNA from 1 species
AUUGAACGCUGGCGGCAGGCCUAACACAUGCAAGUCGAGCGGAUGAAGGGAGCUUGCUCCUGGAUUCAGCGGCGGACGGGUGAGUAAUGCCUAGGAAUCUGCCUGGUAGUGGGGGAUAACGUCCGGAAACGGGCGCUAAUACCGCAUACGUCCUGAGGGAGAAAGUGGGGGAUCUUCGGACCUCACGCUAUCAGCUGAGCCUAGGUCGGAUUAGCUAGUUGGUGGGGUAAAGGCCUACCAAGGCGACGAUCCGUAACUGGUCUGAGAGGAUGAUCAGUCACACUGGAACUGAGACACGGUCCAGACUCCUACGGGAGGCAGCAGUGGGGAAUAUUGGACAAUGGGCGAAAGCCUGAUCCAGCCAUGCCGCGUGUGUGAAGAAGGUCUUCGGAUUGUAAAGCACUUUAAGUUGGGAGGAAGGGCAGUAAGUUAAUACCUGGCUGUUUUGACGUUACCAACAGAAUAAGCACCGGCUAACUUCGUG